GACGAACGCUGGCGGCGUGCUUAACACAUGCAAGUCGAACGGAAAGGCCCUGCUUUUGUGGGGUGCUCGAGUGGCGAACGGGUGAGUAACACGUGAGUAACCUGCCCUUGACUUUGGGAUAACUUCAGGAAACUGGGGCUAAUACCGGAUAGGAGCUCCUGCUGCAUGGUGGGGGUUGGAAAGUUUCGGCGGUUGGGGAUGGACUCGCGUCUUAUCAGCUUGUUGGUGGGGUAGUGUCUUACCAAGGCUUUGACGGGUAGCCGGCCUGAGCGGGUGACCGGCCAAAUUGGGACUGAGAUACGGCCCAGACUCCUACGGGAGGCAGCAGUGGGGAAUAUUGCACAAUGGGCGGAAGCCUGAUGCAGCAACGCCGCGUGCGGGAUGACGGCCUUCGGGUUGUAAACCGCUUUCGCCUGUGACGAAGCGUGAGUGACGGUAAUGGGUAAAGAAGCACCGGCUAACUACGUG
rnacentral:rRNA from 1 species